rnacentral:rRNA from 1 species
CACGUAGGGCGCAAGCGUUGUCCGGAAUUAUUGGGCGUAAAGAGCUCGUAGGCGGUCUGUUGCGUCCGCUGUGAAAACUCGGGGCUUAACCCCGAGCCUGCAGUGGAUACGGGUAGACUAGAGGUAGGUAGGGGAGAAUGGAAUUCCCGGUGUAGCGGUGAAAUGCGCAGAUAUCGGGAGGAACACCUGCGGUGUAGACGGCUUUCUGGACCAUAACUGACGCUGAGAUACGAAAGCGUGGGUAGCAAACAGG